rnacentral:lncRNA from 12 species
UUUGAGGAGAAGAAAUUUAUUUUUCUUCAAGUGUAACACUGAGGAAGUUUCUGCUGCCCUGGAACAUGUUCUUUUUUGUUUGACUGAGUGAAAGUUUUGCUUUAGAGAACAGUAUGUAUUGUCCUUUGCUACCACAUGACAGACUUUUCCAAGUGGACGUUUUUUGUGAGCAGUGUUGUUACUUGGAUUCUGUCCCUUUGGACAUUUUUUGACCUCAUUUUCAAAUUCCUGGUUUUUGUCAGUUUUUUCUGAAUUGAUUUGAAUCUUAACUUUUGGAUACUUCUCAUUUUUGUUAGAGGAGACCCGACAUUUGAAUAUGCUUUAUUUGCACUUCUGGAAUUUCAAGUAAGCAUGUUGUCAGGCAUGGGUUAAAAUCAGGUUAAAAUAAAUUCCACCCAAGAAAGGAUCUCAAACAGCUGUAAGUCUGGCCUGAUAAAAACCACACCUAACUUCUAGAGGCUAGGAUAUCAGUUAGUGGCUUGAUUGUAGAUACAUGUAUCUUUAGCUACACCUAGAAGGCCUGUGUUCAGUGUGUCAGGGAUAAUUGAGAAGGGCAAAUACAGUAGAAGGAGAAGCAGGUCAUGGAGACCUGCUGAAUAUUUUUAAUCAAGUUCUGUCAUUACACUACUUAAGUUCCACUAAAGUGGAAAGAGCACGGAGUUUUGGGGGCAUUACAGAAUUAAAUCAGGUGUCUGGAAUGGUAUUGGGUGGGCUCACUUAAAAUAGUUGUGAUAGGCAUGCCACAUGUUACAUGAGACCAUAGAUAUUCAGAUAGUAA